GGAAACUGCUAGGGGCGCGAGUAUUCGCUGAGAUAAGGAAAUAAUCCUUGGUCCCUCAAUACCUGAUCCGGGUCAUGCCGGCGGAGGGAAGUAGUAUAGACCCCCG
rnacentral:ncRNA from 1 species